rnacentral:rRNA from 1 species
GUAGGUGGCAAGCGUUGUCCGGAAUUAUUGGGCGUAAAGCGCGCGCAGGCGGUUCUUUAAGUCUGAUGUGAAAGCCCACGGCUCAACCGUGGAGGGUCAUUGGAAACUGGAGAACUUGAGUACAGAAGAGGAAAGCGGAAUUCCACGUGUAGCGGUGAAAUGCGUAGAGAUGUGGAGGAACACCAGUGGCGAAGGCGGCUUUCUGGUCUGUAACUGACGCUGGGGCGCGAAAGCGUGGGGAGCAAACAGGGAUUAGAUACCCUGGUAGUCCACGCCGUAAACGAUGGGUGCUAAGUGUUAGGGGGUUUCCCGCCCCCUUAGUGCUGCGGCUAACGCAUUAAGCACUCCGCCUGGGGGAGUACGGCCGCAAGGCUG